rnacentral:rRNA from 1 species
UACAGAGGGGGCAAGCGUUGUUCGGAAUUACUGGGCGUAAAGGGCGCGUAGGCGGCCUUCUAAGUCGAACGUGAAAUCCCCGGGCUCAACCCGGGAACUGCGUCCGAUACUGGGAGGCUUGAAUCCGGGAGAGGGAUGCGGAAUUCCAGGUGUAGCGGUGAAAUGCGUAGAUAUCUGGAGGAACACCGGUGGCGAAGGCGGCAUCCUGGACCGGCAUUGACGCUGAGGCACGAAAGCGUGGGGAGCAAACAGG